CCCGGCCGCCGCCGCUGCCUGUCCCCGCCUCAGGCCUGUGCUGCCGCUGAGGGAUCGUUGUGACACGGUCCCCACCGAGCCCCGGCCCGGCUCCGCCCGGAACGACGGCGGCGGGACCCAACCCCCGGCGGGGCGGGCCCGGGCCGGGCCAUGGCGAGCGGGGCGCGGGGAGCCUGGAGCGAGUGGCCCGUGGAUCACUUCCUGCGCACCGGGCACAUCGCGGCCAGGGACGGGGCCGCCGUGCGCUGGUUCCACGCCGCCAACAGCCGGGCCCGGGCCGCGGAGGCCGCGCGAAGCGACGUGCACAUGGUGGAGGUGGAUGUUGUGCUCCGGGGAGGGGACGGGGACCCCAUCCUGGCUCAUCCCCCGGACACCGACAGCGACAUCACCCUGCAGGAGUGGCUGGCGCAGAUGGGCAGCACCAGCAAAGGCAUCAAGCUCGACUUUAAGAGCCUGGCCGCCGUGGGACCCUCCCUGGAGCUGCUGGGACAGCUGGGGCAGAGCCUGGACAGGCCCGUGUGGCUGAACGGGGACAUCCUGCCCGGGCCCUGCGGGAACCGCGCGCCGCUGGACGCCCGCGCCUUCCUGGGCGCCGUCACCUCCUCGUGCCCCGAUGCCACCCUGUCCCUGGGCUGGACCACGGGCUGCCACCGAGGCCAAGGUAAGGGCAGGGCUCCUGUGCUGCCUUGGCUGCAGCUGGCAGCAGCCCCAGGCCGUGUCCUGCCUGUGGUUGUGGGACCCUGUCCGGGACGGGGCGCUGGGCAGUGGCAGCACAGAUGGGUGAAAUCCACAUCUUCUUGUUCCUAAAAAUAAGCUGGUUUGUGCUUCAGCCCCUUCUCACCUGCUUCUGAGGGACAAGCUCCUUAGCCUCUGUUUCAGGGAGGGCUGUCCCUGCAUCCUGGCAGCAUUGAUCUGAUCAGAGCCCUGGCAUGCGUCCUGAGGAAAAACAGAUCAGCUGGAAAUGUGGAACUUUUUAUCUCUGCUUUUUUUUUUGAUCACCGAAGUCAAAUUUGUGGGUCAGCCUUAUCCCCAACAUUUCAUUUCUCUUGGAAAGUUGAAGUUUUGGAGUAAACUUUCCAAUUUUCAUUAAUAUAGGGUCUUUUUUACAGGCUUCCUCUUGCGAUUCUCAUUAUGAGAAGCAGAGUCCCCUCCAAUAUUAUCUGGGGUCACCAUGUCAGGAUUAUACACUACCCCUAUUGCUACUUACUCAUUAGCAAGAUUUAGUAUUUUGUUGUGUGAUAUACUGCAGUGUUGUUAAAACGUUCAGUGCUUUCUCCCAGGUAUUUUCGGUGCAGGAAAAAAUUGCUGGAAAUUGCAUUGGAAAUACUGGGCAACCUGUGAAAACAAAUUUCAUUUUAUCUCCAGUCCAAAUUUCAGUUUAUGGAAAUACUAAGUGAGGUUCUACUAUAAAAUUUAAGAAAACAAGCUCAUUUGAGUGAUUUCACCUAGAAGUUGCUGCUUGCCUCAGAAAACUUUUUUUAAUAUUUGGUGCGUUUUUACUCUUUGUAGUCACUACAUUCCAUCUGAGUAAUCGAGGAAAAAGUUAUUAACUUGUUACAGGAUUUUAAUAGCCUGUAGAAACAAAAGAAUAGAUAAAUAUAAAUUGAAAUAGCUCCAGUCCUUAUAGAAACCCCAGCAAAGGCACUUUCAGUAUUUUAGAUUGCUUGAUUGUAGCAUUUUUAGGCACAGAAUAUUUUUCUCCACGUGUGUUGAUUGGUGUACAUCUUCAUUCCUAGUGGAUUCACUUAAGUUUUUGUCCUAAUUUUUUCUUAAUGUUUUUAUUUUUAAAGGGUCCCUGACAAUGUUAAACUAGGCCAUAUUGAAGUCAGUGGCAGCAGAGUUUUUUAGAGAAAGGGCAAAGAUAACGUUAAAAACGCCACGUUCUGUAGCUGAGUGUAAAGUAAGUAAGCGCGCAUGUAAAGUAUGGGAAAUAAAGGUUUGCACAGUAAGUUCGUUUUCCGCGUGGAUAUUGCAUUUAUUUUUCAUUUUAUUUAUUGCAUGCAUUUUUCCUCUGGGACAUUUGCUGCCCAGAGCCAUGCAGCAGUUACAGGGUGGAACUGUGUGGUUCUCAGGGAUGCUGGAUGUGCAGGUUUUGUGUCUCCAAGGGACCCCGGGCUGUGUGUGUCCCCGGGGUCUGUGAGCUCUGAAUCUGUGUGUCCCCAGGGCUCUGAGUGUCCCGUGUGUCCCCAGGGCUCUGAGUGUCCCGUGUGUCCCCAGGCUCUGUGGGCUCUGAAUCUGUGUGUGCCCAGGGCUCUGAGUGUCCCGUGUGUCCCCAGGCUCUGUGGGCUCUGAAUCUGUGUGUCCCCAGGGCUCUGAGUGUCCCGUGUGUCCCCAGGGUCUGUGGGCUCUGAGUGUCCUGUGUGUCCCCAGGGUCUGUGGGCUCUGAAUCUGUGUGUCCCCAGGGCUCUGAGUGUCCUCUGUGUGUCCCCAGGGCUCUGAGUGUCCCGUGUGUCCCCAGGCUCUGAGUGUCCCGUGUGUCCCCAGGCUCUGUGAGCACUCAGUGCCCUCGCUGUGUGUCCCCAGGCUCUGUGGGCUCUGAGUGUCCCGUGUGUCCCCAAGGUCUGUGGGCUCUGAGUGUCCUGUGUGUCCCCAGGGCUCUGAGUGUCCCGUGUGUCCCCAGGCUCUGUGUGCUCAGUGCCCUCGCUGUGUGUCCCCAGGCUAC